AACCAAAUGGGAUUCCUUAAGUAAUUGCGAAUGAACAAGGACAUGCUUAGCUUGACAAUUGGAGCCUCUGGCUUCGACUUGUAUUUUUGAAAUGUAUUACCAACAGAGGUGCAGGUGUCAGCCUAUUGAAAGAAAGCGUCAAUGAGGGUGAGAAUCCUGUUUGUCAUGUGCAAUCCUCUGUGCACGGUGUAUGUUUGCUGAGUCACACUCCUUGGCAUUGGAAUGCAAAGUGGGUGGUAAGUUUCAUGUAAAGGUAAAUAUAGGAUUGAGACUGAUAGCACACAAGUACCAUGAGGGAAAUAUGAAAAGGACUUUGAAAAGAGAAUUAAAUGAGUUUGUAUUUGCUGAACAGAAAAUAAACAGAUUUGAUGUUGCUUGGUGAGAUUGUGGUGCUUGCUUGACAAUAGGUUUUGAUUGUGGGUGCAAUGAUUCUUGCUUUGCUUGCCAGUUUCCAUGUGUACAUUUGAUUACCCUUGCUCAUGAAUGGUAAUCUUCCUGCGGGGUUUGGAUUGCAUGUGUUUGUGAUGAUUUGUGUUUUGAUACAUGUGUCUGGUGCUUUUGUAAUUGCUCAUUUCUUGAAGCUGGGCCUACCCUACUAGAGCUUACAAGCCCUGGCACACAAUUGCUGGCAAAAUGCUUCUGCUUGACCCGUCUUGAAACACGGACCAAGGAGUCUAACAGAUGUGCAAGCUUGAGGGUUGCAUACCUUUGUGCGCAAUGAAAGUGUUGGCUGGGAUAUUUGCACCAGCAGCCGACCCAUUAGCAGACAGAGGUUCGAGUUGGAGC
rnacentral:rRNA from 1 species